UUAAAGCGACUUAUGCAUGCGUAUAAACGUAGUAAUUGACACGUAUGCGGCAGUGUAUAAAUCACUGUAGACGCUUUCAAGUACAAAGCGCUAAGCACAACGCCCAAGUGAGUGAGUGAAUGAGUGCCAAGUGUAAAGUGCAGACAAAGCAGAUUUAAGUGAACGUUGCCGUGAAAGGCAUUGAAGCUGAACAUUUAAGUUGAAUAGCAAGCGACUUUGCAUAAAUCAUGAACCAGUGCCUGUAAAUACUAGGUGUAUUGAAUAUUUAAAUCGUUUAUACAUAUUUCGUGAGCAUACUUAAUUGGCCUCUGCAUGCAGUGCAGUGAAGAGUGAAAGGUGAGGAAUGCUUUGAGGAGGCUGUAAUAAGGAGUACAAAAAAAAAACUUUUUCUACAAGGUGAUAUAAAGAGCACCCAUAAAACAAUCUCAUGCGAAAACUUAAUGGUAAAAAGGAAUGGUUCACAAGCACAGGUAACAAAUGCAGUAUUUAAAACGAAAACAACAACAAUACAAUCGCAACAACAAGUGCUUUAAAAUCUGCUGAAGCAAAGGAAAACGAAACGAAAACGUCAUUGCAUUUGUUGGGCACUAAAACAGUGGGGCAUAACCAGUAACGGAAGUAAAUCAACCAGAGUGAGAGAGAUAAAGAGAGAGUGGUUCAGUGCGCCGGGUGAGAGAGGUGGAAAUUAGAACGAAGUGAGGUGCAGCAGAGCGCCAACUAGUCGGCGGACAGCGGAACAACAGGAAGUGUGAGAAAACAGGAAGUGCUGAAAUAGCAAAAACACGCAGCUGAAGCAGCAGCAACUAGAAAAAAA